CAGAUGUUUCUGCUGGCUCAUUUAGACUGCUUAUCCUCACAUUCCUCUCAGCUGAUGAGGUGCCCUUCUAUGUUACAAGGAAUUCCUUUUACAUCACAGUGGUAGAGCUGGUUAAAAACACCAUCUGCUCUCAUAAAUGCCUGGACUGUGUUUAGCCACACUAUUCAAAAACUUGAGAAUAGCUACUGAAAGCUGGAGAUGAACCAUUGAAGUACACUGGAUGACAUCCGAACACAUCCAACAGUUAAGUGAAGGACCAAGUACUAUAAAAAGUCAAGGCAGGAGCAACAUCACUCAAACACGCUUAUGAGGAAACAUCAUGACACCCUGUGACGCACUGCUGAACUUUUGGGGACUGGAGAGCAUGAAUCAGAAGCGCUACUGGUCCUUGAAAAAGAUACGCCUCGAGAAAGAACAUCAAGUACUGGCCCAACAGAACCGUGAAGGGGACUGCCACUGAUUGCCUUUAUUGUUUUGACAUCCCAUAUUGCGGCGGAUGUUGUGUAUGCGUCGCGAUGUGCAUUGUGUCUUGGGCCACCAGGUUGCAGGGGCUCACCCCCUACCUGCUCAGUCAUUGGUUCAUGCUGUGAAGGGGUGGAGUGUAGUGGAAUUCCAGGGUCACAGCCUGAACCAAUGGGUGGGCUCUGUGAGUGUGUGAGUGCGGCGGCGCGGCAGUACGAGCGGGGGAGGGACACAUUCCUCAGCUCGGCUCUGCCUGCGUGCUGCUACCGGGAGGGGUGAGUCGAUUCUUUUUGAUAUCUUUCCCUCGUGUGCCUAUUUCUUAAAUAAAGGCUUUGUCAUUACCUUCAUUUGCUCUACAGCUACAUAUUACCUACAAAAAAUAAUCCACAGAAAGGAGAUCAGUGACUCUUUCCCAUGGCCUGAGGAAGCUCUUGGAAUUAUAUGGACAGAAGUAGAAGAGAGUCACUUCCUUGGCCUGUCCUAUAGCCACAGAGACUCCUGUUGCAUUUUCCAAGCUGCAAACUAAGGACUAAGCAACCUCUGCCCUUCCUGCAGCCAGCACUCCCCUGAUGUAGUCCAGUGUGUGUACAGGGAACCUUGGACAGCUCUUAGCUCUCUCACCCACUGCUCCUUUCUGUACUCAGCCCAAACACAGAAACCAGAUCACACAAGUUUUCAGACCACAGAUCACAUGUUCUAGCUCUUUUGUACAACACAUGUCCAGAGACAGUUUAAUAAUACUUUCAUCAGAGACUUACAGGCACUUACAUAAAUGGUUCAGCUUUCUCAGCUGUAGGCACCAUUUUUGACAGAACUCAUCUUAGUAUAUUCACAUGAAAUACAGAAAUGAGUUGAAGUAUUUGUGUCUUUAAAAUGAGGAGAAGAAAAAGCCAGUCUGAACUCAAAUACCUUGGCUUACCAAUAUCACAUUUUUUUUUUUUUAACUAUUUACAGACAUUUUAAAAACACUACUUACAUGCCCCAAAAUGAUGCUUUUAAACAUAAUUCCAACUACAGUUAGCUCAAAUUAUCUAAGCUUUUUUUUCCCCCGAGUAUAGCAAAGUAAUGCCUCUCAAAUUUAAUUUACAUAAUAAUUAAGCUAGAUUUCUCUGAAGACUCAUACAAUAUAAUCCCUAUUUUAUCAAUAAAUAGAUGGUUGUUGCAUAUUUUACAAUUUAUACAGAAUUGUAUGGAAUGUACUAAAGGAUAUUAACUAUGGCAUCACUUACUGACCACAUCAUACAAAUAUCACUUGUGGGUUAGAGCUCAUGAGAUUUUAAGGAGUUUUUAAAAACAUUUAUCAAUAAAUAAACAAAAUACUUUUUACGGAGUCUGAAAAUUAAGAAAUUGAGAUUGAGGAUGUGGUGCAUCAGGAAUUAUGAUACAGGAUACAAAAUCAUUCUUCCAUUGAAUGCCACUGAUCUGACAGUUUUUUAUAAUGCAGAAAAUAGCUUUUGUACCUGAAACUUGUCAAUGCCAUCAACAGAGACAAGUGAGGCGUUAUCAGAUGGACAUAGCAUGGAAUGCCUUUUCUGUUUAAGGUCUAAGGAUACAGUUUGCACAUGGAAGCCUAUCAGUAAUUGUAGCUGUGGAACUAUUCAUUUCACAGGUUACAUUGGUACUGCUCAAAAUUAUCUCAUCCCAAUGUUUUCCUACAGUCAGUGAAAAUCAUAGCCUGAAACAAUUUAAACCUUUUGAGGGAAACAACAACAAAGUACAACAGAAGAACCCCCCUCUAACCUACCUCAACUCUUUCACCCAUAUGAAUGAGUAGAGUAUUUGCUAUGAGCAUAUUACAGUUCAAAGGAGUUUUUUUCUUCAGAAUUAUCCAUCAUCAACAUUUCACUAAUUUGCACAAUCAUCCUAACUCCAUAAGCAUACUCCUCCUGGUGCAGAGACAAAUUCAGACAAAGGAGAUCACCUUCAAAAACCAUUAAAAAGUUGGGGAGAUGAGUCAACAUUUGUAUAUUUUUGAUCUUUCUAUAAUUUUAGAUUAAAGAGGACUGUUUAUUUCCACACAAAAUUGAGAUCACUGGUCUGACUGGUUUCACAGAGCGUUUCAGAUAAACUACAUUUUCUUUACACUACAUGCUACAGCUUCCUUUGGUGGGGAGAAAAACAGAAUGACAGUAGUGAAGGGAACACAGCCCAUAUUCCAGUCUGAUACAUUACUAAGCCACACUUCCACUGUUUGCAAUAUUAUUAGAAGUGCUGUUUCGCACAGUCACUGGUGCCAGAGGACUCAAAAUCAAAUCUGAAGUCAUUAUAUAAAAAUGAUACUGCAGAACUCAAUUUUAACUUCAUUAAAGUAACAAAAUAGCUGACAAAUGGAGCCAUCCACUCUGAUGUGUCUCAGCUUCAAAUAACGCAUAAAACAAUUGGAAACUCAGCCUUAGGGCUGCUGCUGCUGCUUUAAAGUAGUCAGUAGUACUGACAGAGUUAAAAACACUGAAAUGUAACACUACAGAAUUAAAAAGUUAACAAUAAGUCAUGAACCUAACUAAAAUGCAGGUUGAAGUCAAAAGAACAUGAUUAAGACUACAUGGAACCUUGAGCAGUGUUUGAAAGGGAAAGAUGAAGUCUUUUGUUAGGACAGCACAAAGCAAGGACAGCACAGCGUCCCCAGAAGGAUUACACAGCCCUGAAUGAUUUCAGGAAGUUAUGAAAUAAUUUUAGCAAAGAACAACACACAGCACAUACAUUUAAUAAAUUUUCAUCAACUGGCAAACUAUAACAUUAUCAACCUGUUUUUUCUACCCAUUUAUAAAACUGAUCAAACCCACUUCAGAGCAUGUACAUCCUAAAAUCUGCUGUGGCAUAUAUCUUAUUUCUGCAUCCUGUAACUUUAAUUAUUUUAAACUUGCAUCUAAAUAGCUGAAGACAAAAGCUUCAGAACAUGACUUUCACAGUGUAAAACACUGCUGCUUAUUACAGAGUAAACCAAAUUCAGGUUGUAUUUUCCUCUUCAAUAUCUGAUCUUUUAAACUACUCACGUGCUUUACAAGCUUCAGAUAAACUACAUUUGUUAUUUGUUACCUCUAGAAACAAGAAGUCAAAUAUCUGUCCUUUCUUUGAAAGCUUUUUGUGUACUCCUUAUACAGCAUUGGCCUAUCAAGAAAGUAGUCCAGGCUUGGUUGUAGCAUUGCUUCAACAUCAUCAACAGGAAAAAAAAAAAAAAAACCCAACACAAAAAGCUCUUUCCUUAUUAAAAUUAAUAACAAUAACUAGCCAUCUCUGGAAAACCACAGGAAUUAGAAAUUUUAAACCAACCAGUUUGACAGCAUCCUCUAAUUUCACUGCCUUCUACACAGGCCAUUCUGACUUCACAACUCAAAUAUAUGUUUAAGGGGAAGAAAAGCACACUUCUAAACUACAAGCAAGAUUUUAAAUUAGUCAAAAGUAUUCAUAUUUUAUUCCUUUCAGUCUAUUUGUACUAUUAAAAAUACCACUGUUCCAAUUUCACAUUAAUCUAAUUUAUACAGACUUAAUAAUUGAUGUAGCACAUUUCCUUUUCAAAUAUUGUUCAUACCCCUGUCCCACAGGCUUUUCAAAAAUAUGCAUAUGGCUUAUAGUUUCCAUAAAGUCACAUGACAUACUUUAAGGAUAUCUCCUAUCAAAAAUUGAGGGCUUACUCCAAAUCUGACAGCUUACUCCAAUCUGACAGGAUCCCAAAAAACACUCCUCUAGGAAGAAUUUAAGCUUAUUAGUACUCUUUUACUAGAUUGUUCAAAAAAAAAAAGUACCUUUUCUGCUCAAGUGUUCAUCUAUUUCUUCUCUCAUGCAACACUUGAAGUCACAGUUCUGUUUAUGAGACUGCAAUCAAUUCUUCAGUAGUCAAUUAGAGUAUCUCAAAGGUGUAGGUUUUGGUGAAUAAUAAAGCAAUCAAUUUGAGCUCCUGCAGUCUUGUUCUUAUUUUAGUAUUUCUGAUAAUUACAAAAUAAAUACUCAGAAAGCCAGUUCCUACAUCAUAUUUUAUUAGUGGGAUCAAAGGCAGACUUCUAACACAAGCACUGCUAGCUGAGUUGUCACUGUAAUACUCACUGCAGAUUAAUCAAGAACAAUUUUACCUGCACCAGUGUUCACUGCAGUUCUAGAACACAAGAGAACUCUGCCAGAAGUUUUGAUUUAUGCUGACUGUUCAGUGGCCUGCUGGGAUUCUUACUCAAGUAAGAAAUAAAAUGAAAAAAUUGUUGCCAAUGAGAAAAAAAAAUACUAUAAUUGCAAUUUUUUUUAAGGUAAUGUUUCAGAAUUUCAAACACAAAAAACACCAAAUAGAUAUUAAGAGAAAUAUUACAGAAACUUCAAAGCUAAUAUAUGAUGGAAACAUAUAUAUUAAUUAGCAUCUAAUUCUUUUCCUUUGGUACUUAAAUCUGCAGCAUUACAGUCAUUUUACCAAAAUCAGAAAUCAGACAUGUUGCUUGGUUUCCAUAACCACUUUCUCUUACUAAUCCAAAAUGUACUCCUGAACCCAUAAGAUAGAGCAUGAUCCUCACAGGUGAAUAUUUAUAGAGAAUAAUGAUGGAAUCUGGUCGCAUUUUGAUAAAAAUUGUGCUGAAAGAGUCGCCUGAUGUUCUCAAUGAAGACAGCAGCAGUACAAUUACCUUGUAGUAACUUCUUUUAACACUAAAAACUGACAUGAAAUUGUCUUCAUGAAAUCCUUUCAUUAUUCCCUGGAACAAUGCUUGAGGCAUUAUGCCUGAUUCUGUCAUUAUCACAGCUCUACAUCUUAUUAAUGUAAACCAGGAGUAGAAAGAGAGAUGGUGAAUGAUAUUAAAAUCUGCCAUUUUGAGAAUAAUGUUCCAAAACAGAUCAAAGUGCUUGGAUGAUGCCUCCCAGUUCUCGCAGCUUUCAGUAUCAGUUUAUAAUGUCACCAACAAUUUCACUGCAUAGAAUCAAAAAAAGGCAGGUCCUCCUGUUCUCCAUUUUGGCUCAUUGAGAAGAUGUAGCUCAUCAGAAUGUUGAGCCCGGUCCAUUGUUUCAAUUGCUUUAAAGCAAGAAAAAGAAGCAUCCUUCCUAAAUUAUUCCUCUUUGCCUCAUGCAUUUCGGCUCUGCAUCUCUAACACUAGAAUCCCAAACUAUUUCCUCAUAUUACAUGCAGCCUGGCAGAAGCAAAAAUACAGUUAUUAUUUUCUAUGUAGUUUUCACAACACAAAAGCAUUAAAGCUGCUCUUGUGAAAAGAUAUUCUCAAAAGCAAUUUAGUUUACAGUGCUUUUCUUCCACUUCUUGUCUCCUUUCUACACUUUUUGCAGUUACCCAGCUAAAGAGGAGAACGUGCCAGCUCCAUCUAGUUCAUAGAUUACAGCUAUCCUUUGGAAGCAGAGUGAUGAAUACUACUCAGACUACUCCUCUGGCUGAGACAAGCAACCCAUUGUGCCACCGUUUGUGCCUGGGCCACCCCUGUCAUAGGAAGAUCUGAGACCAGAAUCCAAUGGGAGUCUGAACAGAAUUCUGGAGUGGCCACAGGCCCCAGCCAAAGCCAUCCUGAGUGACAUGAACGUCCAAUUCAGCUGGGAGGGUAGAACCAAAUAUACACAAUGCCUGGGCUUGUUUAACUGCCAGUUUUGCCUGUUGGAAAGCAUCCUUUUCCAUUCUCCACCAGUCCCAUAGUUGCCCCUUUUUCAUGAGUCUGUAUAAUGGUCUCAGCAGCUGUGCUAAAU
ensembl:lncRNA